UGAUAUUUAUGGGCUCACAUUCGAAUAUCUGAUUUGUUCAAAAAAGGGAAGACGGUGCGAAUCCGUCGCGGGCCCGCCGCUGUAACCGGGGACGAAACCCUCCCACACCACUGUUCCUGCGAAUGGGAAGGGGGAGGCGAGUAGAUCGAUCCGGAAGCCAGAAGACCUUGUUGAACGAACGAUUUUC
rnacentral:ncRNA from 17 species